ACCAGCAGCCAUAUCACCCUGCAAUUCACAACUGGCAACCUACUGAAGCUAAGCAGGUGUGAGCCUGGUCGGUACCUGGAUGAGAGACCUCUUGGGAAAAACUAAGGUUCCUGCUGUAG
rnacentral:rRNA from 1 species